AUUGAACGCUGGCGGCAUGCUUUACACAUGCAAGUCGAACGGCAGCGCGGGCUUCGGCCUGGCGGCGAGUGGCGAACGGGUGAGUAAUACAUCGGAACGUGCCCAGUAGUGGGGGAUAGCUCGGCGAAAGCCGGAUUAAUACCGCAUACGACCUGAGGGUGAAAGCGGGGGAUCUUCGGACCUCGCGCUAUUGGAGCGGCCGAUGGCAGAUUAGCUAGUUGGUGGGGUAAAGGCCUACCAAGGCGACGAUCUGUAGCUGGUCUGAGAGGACGACCAGCUACACUGGGACUGAGACACGGCCCAGACUCCUACGGGAGGCAGCAGUGGGGAAUUUUGGACAAUGGGCGAAAGCCUGAUCCAUCAAUGCCGCGUGUGUGAUGAAGGCCUUCGGGUUGUAAAGCACUUUUGGCGGGAACGAAAAGGACUGUGCCAAUACCACGGUUCGAUGACGGUACCCGCAGAAUAAGCACCGGCUAACUACGUG
rnacentral:rRNA from 1 species